rnacentral:rRNA from 1 species
AACGAACGCUGGCGGCAGGCCUAACACAUGCAAGUCGAGCGCCCUUUCGGGGUAGCGGCGGACGGGUGAGUAUCGCGUGGGAAUAUGACCUUCUCUAAGGAAUAGCCUCGGGAAACUGAGCGUACUACCGUAUACGCCCUAUGGCGGAAAGACUUAUCGGGGAAGGAUUAGCCCGCGUUAGAUUAGGUAGUUGGUGGGGUAAUGGCCUACCAAGCCGACGAUCCAUAGCUGGUUUGAGAGGAUGAUCAGCCACACUGGAACUGAGACACGGCCCAGACUCCUACGGGAGGCAGCAGUGGGGAAUCUUAGACAAUGGGGGCAACCCUGAUCGAGCCAUGCCGCGUGAGUGAUGAAGGCCUUAGGGUUGUAAAGCGCUUUCAGCUGGGAAGAUAAUGACGGUACCAGCAGAAGAAGCCCCGGCUAACUCCGUG